rnacentral:tRNA from 1 species
GCUAACGUAGCUUAACCAAAGCAUAGUGCUGAAGACACUAAGAUGGGCCCUAAAAAGCUCCGAGAGCA